rnacentral:rRNA from 1 species
CGCGUAGGUGGCUUGAUAAGUUGGAUGUGAAAUCCCCGGGCUCAACCUGGGAACUGCAUCCAAAACUGUCUGGCUAGAGUGCGGUAGAGGGUAGUGGAAUUUCCAGUGUAGCGGUGAAAUGCGUAGAUAUUGGAAGGAACACCAGUGGCGAAGGCGACUACCUGGACUGACACUGACACUGAGGUGCGAAAGCGUGGGGAGCAAACAGGAUUAGAUACCCCCGUA